rnacentral:lncRNA from 1 species
UGUCUGAUUUUUAAAGAGUAUAAAUUCCUGAAAGGACAUUUGGUGGGCAUUGACAGCAAUUGACUUCUUGAUCACUGUGCAUGUUGCAAAUAUAUUUAUAUUUGUGUCUGAUGACAUUUGUUUAUAACAGAUAUAUAAAUCUGAAGUUCUAGGUCCACAAACCUUUGUUGUGGUUCAACUGUUGAUAGUCAUCCUUUCCCUUCAUUGUUCCAUCUUAGCAUGUGUCAGAAUGGAAUGUCUUGUCAUGUUGUGUCCGAAGUCCCAGUCUUCACAAAAAUGCAAUUCUUCCUGCUGGGUUUUUGAAAAGUAUAAUUGAGCAGUAUUUGGUUCUUAUUCAUAUCUGAGCUAUAUAAGUGACUGUCAUGCUAGUUAGGUAUCUUGCUUUAUAUGCUAGUAUAUCAAUUGAUAAGCUAGGAAAUGGAAGUUUACAAAUUGGUAGUCUGAGCAUGCAUACAAGGGAUUUCCAAAAGAUAUGUCAAGAAAUUUGUUCUUUAUUCUGCAUCUAGGAUAUUUAUGAAUGAUUUAUAGAGUAAUAAGCAAACCUCUUACAAACCUUGACGUAUCUAUUGACUGCAUGAUGCAUUCUUCCAAUCAG